rnacentral:lncRNA from 1 species
GGAGAGGCUCUCAGACCGAAGGCAAGUUCUGGCACCUGCCAGAACUUUAUAAAGACACAGCGAUCAGUUGACUGGAAAGGAACCGUGCAUGGUUUGCAAAGCGGUCCGCCUCACUAUGUGUCUUUGACUCUGUCCUCAGGGAUCGGGAUGUGCUUCACCAGGAGUGGCUGCCCCAAGUUCAUCUACAGCCCCUUCUUAUCAGCCCGGUGCAUCCUCUGGUGGCCCACACGGGCCAGACUGUCCCCCAGUGGGUCCUGCGUACCCAUCGCGUGCCAGGCACG